rnacentral:rRNA from 1 species
CUGGCGGCGUGCCUAACACAUGCAAGUCGAGCGAUGAAAUCCUUCGGGAUGGAUUAGCGGCGGACGGGUGAGUAACACGUGGGUAACCUGCCUUGUAGAGGGGAUAGCCUUCCGAAAGGAAGAUUAAUACCGCAUAACAUCUUUUUAUCGCAUGGUAGAAAGAUCAAAGGAGUAAUCCGCUACAAGAUGGACCCGCGGCGCAUUAGCUAGUUGGUGAGGUAACGGCUCACCAAGGCGACGAUGCGUAGCCGACCUGAGAGGGUGAUCGGCCACAUUGGAACUGAGACACGGUCCAGACUCCUACGGGAGGCAGCAGUGGGGAAUAUUGCGCAAUGGGGGGAAACCCUGACGCAGCAACGCCGCGUGAAUGAAGAAGGCCUUAGGGUUGUAAAGUUCUGUUUACGGGGACGAUAAUGACGGUACCCGUGGAGGAAGCCACGGCUAACUACGUGCCAGCCGCGGC